rnacentral:rRNA from 1 species
GAUGAACGCUGGCGGUGUGCCUAAUACAUGCAAGUCGAGCGAACGGACAAUAAGCUUUCUCUUCUACUGUUAGCGGGUGACGGGCGAGUAACACGUGGAUAAGCUUCUUCUUUUUCGUGGGUAACUUCGUGGGACCGCUGAUGCUAAUAGCUAAUAUUUUGAACGGGAGGAUGCAAAAGAGAUUCACGGUCUUCCUGUCUCUUUUAGCUGGAUUCGCGUUGGAUUAGUUAGUUGGUAAGGUAACGGCUUACCAAGGCUACGUUGCAUGGCCGACCUGAGAGGGUGAUGAGCCACACUGGAACUGAGACACGGUCCAGACUCCUACGGGAGGCAGCAGUAGGGAAUCUUCCGCAAUGGGCGAAAGCCUGACGGAGCCACUCCGCGUGAGUGAUGAAGGUCUUCGGGUCGUAAAACGCUGUUAGUAGGAAAGAACAUCUGCAUAUUUAUAUGUGCACAUCUUGACGGUACCUAAUCAAAAAGCACCGGCUAACUUCGUG